GAUGAACGCUGGCGGCGUGCCUAAUACAUGCAAGUCGAGCGAACAGACGAGGAGCUUGCUCCUCUGACGUUAGCGGCGGACGGGUGAGUAACACGUGGAUAACCUACCUAUAAGACUGGGAUAACUUCGGGAAACCGGAGCUAAUACCGGAUAAUAUAUUGAACCGCAUGGUUCAAUAGUGAAAGACGGUUUUGCUGUCACUUAUAGAUGGAUCCGCGCCGCAUUAGCUAGUUGGUAAGGUAACGGCUUACCAAGGCAACGAUGCGUAGCCGACCUGAGAGGGUGAUCGGCCACACUGGAACUGAGAAACGGUCCAGACUCCUACGGGAGGCAGCAGUAGGGAAUCUUCCGCAAUGGGCGAAAGCCUGACGGAGCAACGCCGCGGGAGUGAUGAAGGUCUUCGGAUCGUAAAACUCUGUUAUUAGGGAAGAACAAAUGUGUAAGUAACUAUGCACGUCUUGACGGUACCUAAUCAGAAAGCCACGGCUAACUACGUG
rnacentral:rRNA from 1 species